UACAGAGGUCUCAAGCGUUGUUCGGAUUCAUUGGGCGUAAAGGGUGCGUAGGUGGCGCCGUAAGUCGGGUGUGAAAUUUCGGAGCUUAACUCCGAAACUGCAUUCGAUACUGCGGUGCUUGAGGACUGGAGAGGAGACUGGAAUUCAUGGUGUAGCAGUGAAAUGCGUAGAGAUCAUGAGGAAGACCAGUGGCGAAGGCGGGUCUCUGGACAGUAACUGACGCUGAGGAGCGAAAGCGUGGGGAGCAAACAGG
rnacentral:rRNA from 1 species